ensembl:lncRNA
GUACUACUGAUAAAAUUAACGUUGUCCACUGAUUAUUUGCAAAACUGCAGAAUUUGACUAGUGCGUUUAAAGCCUGGAGCUGAGUCAGUGGAGCUUUAUUAACAGCAUGUGAAACGCAGUUAUGCCAAUAUGUGGGAAAGCUGUAUGGUCUGAGUCAGACAAUGUUUUGAUUGCUAAAAAUAAACAAUGACAUGCUGAUAUUAGUACCAAAACAAACCUAGAUAUUGGGAGAGGCAUGUGCGGUAUGGGCUAAUAAAAUGCUACUUCUAUGGAAGAAAGAACAGAGUCAAAUUUGGAGAAAGCUCAAAAAAAGACUUUGGCCAUUGGUAGCCUGAGCCAGCUGGUGUCACCACAGUCUCCAGCCAUGCUGCUGGUUGUACAGGAGAACCAGAGCCCUGAUGGCCAUUAUGGGUUCAUAUGUCGCUACAGGGAAGAAGGCGGACUAGUGGUAGUCAAGGUGGACAAUUCUCACCUCUGCGUGGAUGACAGAUUGGUGGAGGUGAACGGUGUACCGGUUGUCAACUCCACACAGGAAGAGCUGACUGACCUCCUGCUGCAGGGACCCAGUGCUCAAAUUGUUGUCCUUCGCCAACCCCCGCCCAGCCUCACCUCCCCUCUGUUCCUGCAGCAUACGGUCAGCCCUGAUCCCGUGCAAACAGUCUGCCCAGAGGGAGAUGCAGUCACCAUGGAAACCCCUCCACAGCGUAAGGUGAUGGCCAUCUGAUGAUUACAAGGAAGAGAAAAAAAAGACUGAGAGAAUUGCGAUGAGAAAAGUCUGCAGUCUUAUAGUUUUUUACCUCCAUAUGUGAACAUGCUUAUUGUACUGGUGAAAUGUUUCUCAUUGAUUGUUGACAAUCGCCUUUUAGUUAGAAAUGUCAUGACUGUGUUUUUCACCAUAGGUACAUAACUUUAUUCUUGGUAGUCAGUAAUGUAUAACAGAUAUUGUUUCAAUGUUUGCACAGAGCAAUGCCUUUAAAAAACAAAUAACUCAAGCAAAGACUACAUUCAUUUUUUUUCUAUUUAGAGUUCUCCUUGUUUUAUAUUAUCUAUUUUUUUUUUUUUUUGCCAUGGGGGAACAUGGAAAGUACAAAGCCUCACAAAGUUUUGCUCAACUGGAUAUGUGAUAAGCAUUUCCUUCUUUUUAAGCAUCCAGCAAAGUAGUUCCUGAGGUAUAACAAUGUAAGCCUGAUGAGCACUCUGAAUGCCUCAUCUCUUUUAAAGCAGAGACAGAAGUGGAUAGAAUCUGAAAAUAUGUGACAUAAUGUAAAAACACAAGCUUUUGCAUCCUGUCUGCAAGCUUUCUCUGCAGAUCUGACACUAAGAUGGUCUGGAACAAUGUUCAGGGCAGAACAUUUCUUAAAAAAUGAG